GACGAACGCUGGCGGCGUGCUUAACACAUGCAAGUCGAACGGAAAGGCCCUGCUUUUGUGGGGUGCUCGAGUGGCGAACGGGUGAGUAACACGUGAGUAUCCUGCCCUUGACUUUGGGAUAACUUUAGGAAACUGGGGCUAAUACCGGAUAGGAGCUCCUGCUGCAUGGUGGGGGUUGGAAAGUUUCGGCGGUUGGGGAUGGACUAGCGGCUUAUCAGCUUGUUGGUGGGGUAGUGGCUUACCAAGGCUUUGACGGGUAGCCGGCCUGAGAGGGUGACCGGCCACAUUGGGACUGAGAUACGGCCCAGACUCCUACGGGAGGCAGCAGGGGGGAAUAUUGCACAAUGGGCGGAAGCCUGAUGCAGCAACGCCGCGUGCGGGAUGACGGCCUUCGGGUUGUAAACCGCUUUCGCCUGUGACGAAGCGUGAGUGACGGUAAUGGGUAAAGAAGCACCGGCUAACUACGUG
rnacentral:rRNA from 1 species